rnacentral:rRNA from 1 species
CCUACGGGAGGCAGCAGUGGGGAAUAUUGCACAAUGGGGGAAACCCUGAUGCAGCGACGCCGCGUGAGUGAAGAAGUAUUUCGGUAUGUAAAGCUCUAUCAGCAGGGAAGAAGAAAGACGGUACCUGACUAAGAAGCCCCGGCUAACUACGUGCCAGCAGCCGCGGUCAUACGUAGGGGGCAAGCGUUAUCCGGAUUUACUGGGUGUAAAGGGAGCGUAGACGGCUGUGCAAGUCUGAAGUGAAAGCCCAGGGCUCAACCCUGGGACUGCUUUGGAAACUGUGGAGCUAGAGUGCUGGAGAGGUAAGUGGAAUUCCUAGUGUAGCGGUGAAAUGCGUAGAUAUUAGGAAGAACACCAGUGGCGAAGGCGGCUUUCUGGACUGAAACUGACGCUGAGGCACGAAAGCGUGGGGAGCGAACAGGAUUAGAUACCCUUGUAGUC